rnacentral:rRNA from 1 species
AUUGAACGCUGGCGGCAGGCCUAACACAUGCAAGUCGAGCGGAUGAAGGGAGCUUGCUCCUGGAUUCAGCGGCGGACGGGUGAGUAAUGCCUAGGAAUCUGCCUGGUAGUGGGGGAUAACGUCCGGAAACGGGCGCUAAUACCGCAUACGUCCUGAGGGAGAAAGUGGGGGAUCUUCGGACCUCACGCUCUCAGAUGAGCCUAGGUCGGAUUAGCUAGUUGGUGGGGUAAAGGCCUACCAAGGCGACGAUCCGUAACUGGUCUGAGAGGAUGAUCAGUCACACUGGAACUGAGACACGGUCCAGACUCCUAAGGGAGGCAGCAGUGGGGAAUAUUGGACAAUGGGCGAAAGCCUGAUCCAGCCAGGCCGCGUGUGUGAAGAAGGUCUUCGGAUUGUAAAGCACUUUAAGUUGGGAGGAAGGGCAGUAAGUUAAUACCUUGCUGUUUUGACGUUACCAACAGAAUAAGCACCGGCUAACUUCGUG